rfam:Oryza meridionalis cultivar OR44 (W2112) chromosome 4, whole genome shotgun sequence.
AAUAAGCGCGGAGAUUUUCCAUGUCCAACUUUAACAUUGUCUUAUUUAAAAAAAAUUAUGAUUAGAAUUUUUAUUGUUAUCAGAAUAUAAAACAUGAAUAGUAAUUUACGUGUGACUUAUGUUUUUUAGUUUUUUUUUUAAAAAAAAUAAGAUGAACGAUUAAAGUUGGAUACGGAAACUUAUAGUUACACUUAUU